rnacentral:rRNA from 1 species
UAAUACAUGCAAGUCGAGCGGACAGAAGGGAGCUUGCUCCCGGAUGUUAGCGGCGGACGGGUGAGUAACACGUGGGUAACCUGCCUGUAAGACUGGGAUAACUCCGGGAAACCGGAGCUAAUACCGGAUAGUUCCUUGAACCGCAUGGUUCAAGGAUGAAAGACGGUUUCGGCUGUCACUUACAGAUGGACCCGCGGCGCAUUAGCUAGUUGGUGGGGUAAUGGCUCACCAAGGCGACGAUGCGUAGCCGACCUGAGAGGGUGAUCGGCCACACUGGGACUGAGACACGGCCCAGACUCCUACGGGAGGCAGCAGUAGGGAAUCUUCCGCAAUGGACGAAAGUCUGACGGAGCAACGCC